GGAUUUAGCUCAGUGGUAGAGCGCUUGCCUAGCAAGUGCAAGGCCCUGGGUUUGGUCCCCAGAUCCG
rfam:Rattus norvegicus chromosome 11, whole genome shotgun sequence.